GUGAGAUACAGUGACUGGCAGGGUGUAUGUGUGUGUGUGUGAGAUACAGUGACUGGCAGGGUGUGUGUGUGUGAGAUACAGUGACUGGCAGGGUGUGUGUGUGUGAGAUACAGUGACUGGCAGGGUGUGUGUGUGUGAGAUACAGUGACUGGCAGGGUGUGUGUGUGUGAGAUACAGUGACUGGCAGGGUGUGUGUGUGUGUGUGAGAUACAGUGACUGGCAGGGUGUGUGUGUGUGUGUGUGUGAGAGAUACAGUGACUGGCAGGGUGUGUGUGUGUGUGUGUGUGUGAGAUACAGUGACUGGCAGGGUGUGUGUGUGUGUGUGUG